UACGAAGGGGGCUAGCGUUGCUCGGAAUCACUGGGCGUAAAGCGCACGUAGGCGGAUUGCUAAGUCAGGGGUGAAAUCCUGGAGCUCAACUCCAGAACUGCCUUUGAUACUGGCGACCUUGAGUCCGGGAGAGGUGAGUGGAACUGCGAGUGUAGAGGUGAAAUUCGUAGAUAUUCGCAGGAACACCAGUGGCGAAGGCGGCUAACUGGUCCAUAACUGACGCUGAGGUGCGAAAGCGUGGGGAGCAAACAGG
rnacentral:rRNA from 1 species